GUACACUCCUGCGGGAGGCAGCAGUAGGGAAUCUUCCACAAUGGGUGCAAACCUGAUGGAGCAAUGCCGCGUGAGUGAAGAAGGUCUUCGGAUCGUAAAGCUCUGUUGUUAGAGAAGAACACGUGCUAGGUAACUACUAGCGCCUUGACGGUAUCUAACCAGAAAGUCACGGCUAACUACGUGCCAGCAGCCGCGGUAAUACGUAGGUGACAAGCGUUGUCCGGAUUUAUUGGGCGUAAAGGGAGCGCAGGCGGUCUGUUUAGUCUAAUGUGAAAGCCCACGGCUUAACCGUGGAACGGCAUUGGAAACUGACAGACUUGAAUGUAGAACAGGAAAAUGGAAUUCCAAGUGUAGCGGUGGAAUGCGUAGAUAUUUGGAGGAACACCAGUGGCGAAGGCGAUUUUCUGGUCUAACAUUGACGCUGAGGCUCGAAAGCGUGGGGAGCGAACAGGAUUAGAUACCCCAGUAGUCCCAUGAU
rnacentral:rRNA from 1 species